AUAUAGGUAAUCUGCCCCGAAGAGCGGGAUAACGUCUGGAAACGGACGCUAAUACUGCAUACUCCUUCUCAGCAUAAGUUGAGAAGGGAAAUGAACUUCGCUUCGGGAUGAGCCUUUAUCGCAUCAGCUAGUUGGUAAGGUAACGGCUUACCAAGGCUAUGACGCGUAGCUGAUCUGAGAGGAUGAUCAGCCACACUGGUACUGAGACACGGACCAG
rnacentral:rRNA from 1 species